CUCGGUGCUACUGCUGCUCCGCAUGUUUUCCGACGAUGGCCGAAAAGAGCCGAGUAGAGGCGCAGCGACAUUUUCCCGCCCACAUGUGCUGCCUGGGCCGUGACGCCAUUUUGGCUUUCAGAGAAUAACAGCAGUAAUUCCCAAAUGUCAGACUUCCUGCCUGAUUUUUACUAGAAAAACACCCGGGAAAUGAGCUCCAGGGGCCACACAAAAACAACCACAGAGAUUAACUACAGGUUCAGCUAUAAACAUCUAAAUAAUGUCACUUAAACUCAGAUAUUAUAAAAACCUAUCACAGAUAGAGUGGAAUAUUUCAAGCCUCAAUCUCUUGCCAGUUUGAUAAUUAUGUCUUAAAGAUAAUGACCCAAAAAACCCUCUGAAAAAUAGAAUAUAUAUUUCAAAUGAACCAUUAUGCAGUUUAAAUUAUCUCUCAUGAGUGGCUGGAUUUGUUGAGCUCAUGUCUCAAACCUGCUGAUUCAGGUCCUUCAGUUGGUUGGGAAACUCCUGUUUCUUCAGGAAAACCCAAAGUUCUCUGUUUGCUUGUUUUCAUGCUAAAUUUAGCAACAUUGGGCCUCAGCUUUGUUAUUAACAUGAGUUUUUAGUAAAGUGUGAGUUGUUAACUUCCUGAUGGAAACAAACAAAAUGUUCCUGUUUCCUCCAUCAUUUGAUUUUCCAUCUAAAAGUUUGGCCUCCUGCAGAUUUACCAGAAAAAAUGGUUCUGGUUCCAGUCGACCCGACCUCUGUUCGGACCCUCGGUUCUGAAAUGGACUCAGAGAUGACCUGAUGUUUAAUGUUGUUACAUUUAACCUGGAAAACAGUUUAAUCUAACAUUUAAAUUAAAUAAUUUGAUUAUUUAUGCAUUUACUUUAUUUUCCCCUAUUUUUAAUAAGUAGCAUACUGUUGCCUAUUUAUGCAGCUUUUUACUUACACAUAUUUACUUAGGAAUACACAAAUAUGAAAAUUUGGGCCAUUGUUAAUGUUGAAUAUUCAUAUUAAGGUUAAUAACUAACCUUAAUUGAUAAAUAAAUUUGCCUCUAAGUCUUAAUAAUAUUGACCCAGUUUUACGUAUCAGAGUGAUGCGAUAAAAAAUGGCCAACAUCAGCCGGUACAGAUCGAGCAUCGCUGUUCUUAUUUUACUACUUUAUUUUUAUACCUUUAUGAUUUUUUUCCCAAAACAUUUAUUACUUAUUUACUUUACAUCUAAUUUUACGUUUUAUUCUUUAAUGUUUCUUUAUGAAUUAAUAGUAAUGGAACUAAAUUUCUAGAUGAGCUUUUUUAACGAGUCUGUUAAUUUUUCUAACUUUUUUUUUUCAGCUUUUAAUCUUUGAAAACACUUUUAGUUGCACCAUGCUGCACAAAAUGAGCCUUAAAUGUUUAUUCAUUGGUUUAUUGAAUGGAGAAAAUGCGUUUUUAAAUUUUGUGGAUAAAUUUAAAAAUGAUUGAUGAUGCUUGUUCUGCCUGAGGCUGUUAAACUGGGCCUUGGUGGUAAACUGGGCCUUGGUGGUAAACUGGGCCUUGGUGGUAAACUGGGCCUUGGUGGUAAACUGGGCCUUGGUGGUAAACUGGGCCUGGACGGACCCAGAGGCGCCUGUUCUGCAUGAGGCUCAGCAGAAGCAACCUGCGGGUGAAAGUGGCUCCAUUAGGUGCUGAUCAGAUGUGCUGCAAACAACUGGAUGUGGUUAAAUUUGGGCGGACUUGCCCUUUAAUCCAGCAUUACAUCACUGACUCCCUCCCCCUCCCCCAGCCUCCCCGCCCUCCCCCGUGGUGGAGCGCAUGCCGCAGCGGAGCGACACUCCCCCUGAAAACAGCUGCACCUCUGCUCUGGGUUUUACGGUAGCUGGGAUCACGGAGUUUGAGCAGGAGGGGGCGGAGCCUGCACGCUGCUAGUCUGCGGCUAUUGUUGUUGUGAGACGGUGGAGGAAGCCGAGCCGAACCGAGCCGAGCCGAGCCGAGCCGAGCCGAGCGCGGCAGAACCGGGCUGCGUGCCUGCAGAACGCGGCUUUAGGGAAGUGAUGGAAACCUUGAAAAGACGGAACCGACCCACUGAUGCGCCGGCAUGGAAGAGCUUCAACCUGCAGAUGGAAACAUGAAGUACCUCCAACCAACGUUUUAACCAACCAAGGUUCAGACCCAACUCCGGAUCACCGAACCGGGUUGGUUCUGCUGGAUCGGCUGCAAAGAAAUGGAACAACUCAGGAAAUGAGCUUUGAGACUGAACAAAGAAACCAAAACUGAGCUGAAAACAUCAAUUAAAAUCUAGAUUUCAGGUGAAACAUUAAACAGAAUCACCUGGAAAUCAUUCAGUCUGAAUUCCUGAGAGGUGAUGGGAGCAGCAUCAUUCAACCUCAUGUUACCAUGGAGACGUGUUGCUACCAACAUCCAUGAUGACCCAGAGAGGGAGUGUGUCUCAGAUGAGAGCCAACUUCCUGCACACACACUUCCUGGUGCCCUUCAACCUCAGUCCAAGGAGAAAUUAGAGCGGCUAUUGUCUGAGCCUUGGCCAGCAGGGGGCAUCACAGAACAGAGGAGGAAGAGCUCCGAACUUUGAUUAUUCUUCUAUUAAUGUCGUUUCUGUUUUGAUUGUUGGAAUACUUUUUAAAAAUCUGCCACAAUUUUAUUUUCCAUUUUAUCAGGAAAGUUUUCUAUGUUAAAAUGCUUCAGAGGCUUUUUGAACAACAUCCUUCAUUGUGUAAAUCUGCUGAGUCCAUAAACACACACACACACAAUAAACACACACUCACAAUAAACACACACACUCACAAUAAACACACACA